UACAAAAGUGAGGUGGGAUUGACUUGGUACUAUCGGAUCACGUCUUGUCUGGGAGGAGUCUUAAGGAAGGGGCCUGAUCCCUCCUGCUUAAAGCUAGAAGCUGACCUGAAAUAAAGCAACAUCUCUGUGCUUUUUACAUGGUUUUGAUGCACAAUGGGAUUUUGAAAUGGAGCUCAAUGCUUUGGGCUGGUUGCCUACUCCAACCAAGGUCAUCAGAGGAAGAGAACUGCAGCAUCUGGAUGGGACAGUUCAGGUGUACUCAGCCACCCUCCAAGACCUUAGGAUCCCUUCCUGCCUUACUUCUGCAGUGUUUCCCACCACCCCAUGCAGUGAGGUUCCUGGCUCACCAUGGUGGACACAAUGGGGAAACCGAAGCCCUCAAAGCCACCUGUGUCACUGAGCAUGUACAAGAGUUCGUAUAAGAAGGACUAUCAGUGGUGUGAUGAGCACAAGCUACCCAGCGACAUACAGAAGCUGCAGGUUGCAGAUGCCCAGCUAAAAGCCAAGGAGUUUGCUGUACCCCAGGAGAAGCCAGUGAUACCCUACAGCAACAGUGUUGUCGCGCAGAGGGAAGUCAUCCCAGCACCGAGCAUCGAAACCAUCACUCAUGCUGAUGGUGCACAAGAGAGGAUGCCAGACAGCAGCAGAACCUUGCAAGAGGGAAAGCACUUUGCUUCCCCCCUUCCUGAUGAAGAAAGCUACCUCCCAAAGCACGACCCUGCCUCCCAACUGGCAGAGAAGGCAGAGAGGCUGCAGCCCCUCAGUGAGCUGGAGAAUGAGCUGUCUUGUUGCCAGCAUCUUCCAGUGGCUGCUCAGGCUGCUGGGACAACAGACUGCUCCGACCAUGACUGGAGAACCACCUACAACACAGAUUUCAAGCACCGGCCAGGAGCCUGUGGUGGACACUGUAAAGGACAUAAGAACCUCUCUCACAUUUUCCCCAAAGAUGUGCUCCACAAGAACUACUGGGUAUCCGAGUACAAUGAUGCCUACAGCAUUUCCUUGCGGAGGCUGAGACGGUCACCUGAGAUUCCUGCUAUGGGGCUUUGCUCUGGGAAAGGGAUUGAGAUGGACACAGCCAGUGACGGGUGCUGUGGGUGACCAUGCUCCUUGUGCUCCCAAGCUGUCUGCAGGAUAUCGUCCAUCAGAGAUCCUGAAAGCCUGAAAACCUCUCUUUCUUGCAAACCCACCACUGUGUCUAUCAAAUGUGAAAUGUUUGUCAGAAGCCUUUUGAUGCACAUAUUAUUAAAAUCUCUUCAGAAUCCAGGCUUUUCUCAUUGUCAGAAAAGGGUUUUCUUUUGGGGGGGAAGGGGUUAGAACAUAGGCUACGGUGCUCAAAUCAGUCAGGCAGCCUCAAUCUAUGUACUUGAAAGAAAACUUGCCAAUAAACUAAAU
rnacentral:lncRNA from 14 species